UACAGAGGUCCCGAGCGUUGUUCGGAUUCAUUGGGCGUAAAGGGUGCGUAGGUGGCGCUGUAAGUCGGGUGUGAAAUUUCGGAGCUUAACUCCGAAACUGCAUUCGAUACUGCGGUGCUUGAGGACUGGAGAGGAGACUGGAAUUCAUGGUGUAGCAGUGAAAUGCGUAGAGAUCAUGAGGAAGACCAGUGGCGAAGGCGGGUCUCUGGACAGUUCCUGACACUGAGGCACGAAGGCCAGGGGAGCAAAACGGG
rnacentral:rRNA from 1 species